CGUCUGCCACUCUCGCCUGCAGCGCGCGGAGUGGUGACUCCUCUGAGCGUGUCAGCGGCGAGAGGAGGGGCGGGAAAGUGGCUCCCGGCUUGCACGCUGCGGUCCUCCUCCUCUCCUCCGCCUGCCUCCUCCCCCUGGUGCUGCAGUGCCGGGCGGCGGCGUGGCGAGAGUACCAGCGGUGCGCAGGGAGUCACGGCGCGCGGGGGAGGCGGGACCCGCGCGCCACUCGCGGUGCUCCGGCAAGUCGCGGUGCUGAGGCGCUGCUGCGGUGUGGGACUGGGGCAGGGGGCGGGGAAGGAGAGCCACCUCCAAGUGGUAGGUACUUCUGGAGAAGUCAGGGCUCUGAGUUUGUAGCAGGUGAAGGAGAGGGGCGGCAGUCCUUAAUUAGUCACCAACUGUGACUGUGCGUUGCGCACUUGGCGGCGCCCCGGGUCAGGUCCAGCGUGAGACGCGAGGGAGUUCUGACUGCUGGACUCUGUUAGCACCGGACAAAAAGAGGGAGACCCCAACUCGAGCUUCACUGUUCCAAAGCGGUGGGCCAGGCGGCUGGAGAGAAACUCGCUCCCGUGAGGCCACACCCAGGCCUGGCGCACCCACCCCGCGGCAGCAGUGGAGGGCGUCGCCCUCCCGGGCCUUCCGACGCAGACCCUGCCAUCCGGAUGCUGCGGGAAGUAGGGCAUCCUCACGUCCCUGACUCCUCCGGCUCCGCGCGCUCACGGAACCCAAGUGGAGUGGGAAGCGGUCACACAGGCGUGUGCCGUCCCCGAAAUCGUUGCUCCUGUGGUGGUGACCCAAAGCGAGACAAAGCGCCGCGCCAAUACGGGCUGCAGUGAUUGGAACUCAAACACACACAUCUCUCCGCGAAUGUGUUCCAUCCGUGUAAAUAUGCCUGGGUGAUUGAAUGGAUGGCUGAAUGAACGCUGUGUGGAUAGAAAUAUAAAUGUUACAUGUAUAAUACAGGCGCCGGGGAAGGAGAGCUGUCAGGCACCCCCAGGCUGGAGCCUCCUGCCCAGAGGAGCCGGUGGAGACAGGCGGUUCGCCCAGGGCGGUGUUGUUAGCUUGGGCUUUCCAGUUCGAUUUGUGCCACUAUGCAGGAUACUGUGAAGAGAAGAAAAUGGAGACAACUCUUGGCCUCUCAUUUUCCCUCCUCUCUGGUUCAGACACUCUGGCACUAAAAGUUAUGAUUCUCAUGUGCUGUUGAACCUACACUUCCUUGCUGGUCUGUCUUGUUCCGGUGAGAGGCUUUGCAGUCUGUGACCAUGGUGCUAUGAGAUGGUCAGGCAAUAUGAAAAUUAGUGAACGUGCUCAUUUUCAUUUCGUGGAUUCUUCUUAGUAAAAUAAUUAUUUAAAUAGUUAAAUAAUUUAAAUAGUUAAAUAAUUUAAAUAAUUAUUUAGGCUAAAAUUAAUGUGCUGCUACUAUGACAAGGAAGUGCCUAUGAAUCCAGCAUUGGAAAUACAAUUGUGAAAUUAAAAAAUAAAUCCUAUCUGGA
rnacentral:lncRNA from 1 species